rnacentral:rRNA from 1 species
AUGGUGUGCCGCCGCCGCCAUCGCCGCCGCAACCACCGGGACGGCGGCUGGUCUCCUCUGCGCGGAUGCAGGCGUCCCGGUGGGUCUGGUCGGGAGGGACGAGGCCUCCUCGCCCACCACGGGGAGCGCGCUGAACAUCUCCAUUGGCCGCAGACCGUGGAAGCAUCAUCUCGCUGCCCCUACGAGUUCGCCGCCAAGCUGCUCGUCGCCGUGGUGCUUGCCAUCACGCACCGGCCACCAUGGCUCGUCGGCACCAGCUUUGCCGCUGCGCACUUCUCCCGCGGCCAUCAUGCAGCCGUGGCCACCACCAGCUCGCAGCCUCUGCUACCACCACCACUCCUGCUGCUCGCCAUGACCACACCCAAGAAGAAACGUAAUCGCAAUAGGGCUUCACAGGAACGCCUGACUAUAUUUACCGAGGGAUUCACCGACGACCAGAAGGGAGCUGCUGCUGAAUUGGGGAUGCAGGCUCUGAUGGAUGUUCGGUGCAAGAAUCUAGUGAACCCUCUCAUGUACGUCGAUCGUCUUGAUCUGUCCACUGUGGACUUUACUGGGAUAGGAGGCCCGCCGCCUCCACACAAGUUUGUUGUUUCUGCGUGGACUUACGAUGCUGUGAAGGCUGUGCUUGCCGCGGACAAGAUAACUGAUACGAAAUACGGGAAACUGCAGGCGAGGGCACCUGUUGAGCAUCUAAUUGGGCAGUUUGCAUCCGGAAUGACCAGCUUGCUCGGGAAGUUGGUUGAGGGUUGGACGUCCCUUAAUGGCUCUGACAGCGACGCGGUUGCGAGGCAUUUCACUCCUUUUGUUGCAGAAUGGACACAUCGGCCAACUGGUUGCCGUGGUCGGUACGACUACAAAAGCUCGCAGGAGCUUUCGGACACACAAGAUGAACUAGAUGGAGAUGCUGCUCUCGACAAGGACGAUGACGAUAACAUGGAGAACGUGCAUCAUGACACCGACGAUGAUGAACAUGUUGAAGUUCGUGCAGGUGGUAAGAAGGGCAAGGGUGCACCAGAUGUCCCCUCACCGGAGAAAGUCAAAGAACAUACAGCUGCGAGAGGCAAGGGGGUGUCGCCCUCAAAGAGGGGGAGGGAUCCAGAGGAUGUUGGGCAGGGCUCUCCUGUCAAGAGACCUAGGACCGAUCCCUUAGCUGCUAGGAGGAGGGUGAAGAAGACUACCACACGCGUGACGAAGCAGAACCCCAAAGACCCACUCGAACGCAUACACUCAAAGCUGUCGACAGGUGGCAACUCAGACGUUCAUGAGGCGCCAGUGGACAAACCUGCUGCUGCAGCGUCCACUGUUCCCACUAGCUCUGAUGCAAGUGGCCGAGCAUCUCCGCCGGUUGCAGAUGUGCAGGCUACGACAGCAGGCAUCCAUACAUCUGGGAGUGACGAGUCGGUAUCUGCCAGGACUGCUAAAAUAUUGCCCACUCUGCUAGCAAUGAAGGAUGCUGCUGUGAGCCAUGCCACCCGAUCAGCAAGUGUUGAAGUGGACGCCCCCGAGAUCAACCUAAGCAAGGAAGAUUCCCGCUCAUCUGACACGGAUUCCAAGCGCGUAGGUGGUGGCACUUCUUCGUCCACGAAAGAAGGGGCUGAGGCGACAGUUCACAAUGAUAUGCCAUCCAUAGGUGAGACUCUUGGCACAACAGCUCCAGCUUCUGGUGCUCCAGAGGUUGCCAAGGUGACCGUUGCACGAGCUGGUCUUCCACCUAGGCGUCGUAGCCCCCGCAAGCAAUCUGCAGACAUACCCAACGCGCCGGCUGUAGCUAGGAGCAGCAGAGAUGACUCUGGUUAUGUGCCUGCAUCCACACUGUUCCCACCACCUGCCAGAAGCAAUGUUAUGGAGAGAACGGAAGACCGGAGUACAACCGACACAGGUGGCAAUCCGGGCACGACUGACGGAGGCAUGGCCCCAAUGAUGGCGCAGCCAAUGGUCGAGGGCAGGAAGGCUGUGAAGUUCACAGAGCCGGUUGUGCAAGCCACCCCUGAGGAGAUUACACCAUCACUUGAUGAAGCUUACCGCAGGAUUGAGGAGGCAGCAUUGCAGAGGAGGUCCUCACGAGGUCAGGGCCAAUCAAGUUCCAACGCGUCUGCUGAGUCGGUAUCUGAGGAUACCAUUAGAAGUGCCACCCCUGGUUCUGUGAGGCAGCGUAGGGUAGUUCACGCGCCACCCGCGGAUGAUUAUGAGCCGGAAGUCAAGGCCAGAAAGGAUCAGAACCAGCUGUACGAUAUUGUCAAGCGCUUUGGAAAUGCGAGGUCCAACAGCAAUCACAUGAAGGAGCUGAAAGCAACCAAGAUCAUACAAUGUGAUGCGACGUACGUCGACCUGGGUGAUCUUGCCGAGUCUAUGAGGCCACUCGGUAAAAUGUCGAAGAAUGUAGUUGCAAGUGGGAUUGACUUCAUCAACAGGCAUAUGGAUAUGUCUCCCGACAAAACAAUCAUGCAGUACACUGUGAUGUGCAAAAUAUGGGAUGGUGACUUCCACCACAAAAUCCUGAGGAAGCAUUUUGCUGCGCAUGGUGAUUUCAAGCUCACAAUGAAGAAAAUGUCUGUUUCAUGUGGCAACAGCUGCCAUGUCUUGUUCCCCAUGUUCCAGGAGCUUGCACCACACGACCCACAUGACAAGUGUGGUCACCACUAUGCGAUCUGCCUUGACCUGAAGAACCAAUGUUUUAAGGUGCUUGAUUCAAUGCGUUCAGAAGCUGAUGCAGACCUUACUACGCAUGCUGAAUACUUCAUCAACAACCUCAAAGAGACAUGGAACCGUCACUACGAAAACUCAAAGGUCCAGAUCAGACAUUUUCCAAUUGAGUACGUGGCGACUACGAAGCACGACUGCGGCUUCCACACGUUGGAAUACCUUGCAAAGUGGGAAGGUCGACGGGUUCCUGUCAUCACAGCUGGAAUGGUCGUCGAGCUCCGCAAAAUUUACACAUGGAACUGGUUGAUGAAUGAAGAUUUCAACACGCGGUCCAACGCACAUCCUACCUCUGAGUUUUCAGAUGAUGGCCCUCUGGACGAAGGCACACUUGAUGUGCGGGGGAACCUGUAGAAGGCCGGCGAUGGAGGUAGGGGAUCAAGAGGUGGGAGACGAUGGUGGCAGUCGGGACUGGGGAUCGAAAGGAGGCCGGGACGGCUGGGUCGUGCGGGCAGCGUGGUCGUCUGGCCCGGACGUAUGGGCGGGUUUGCCACACACCGGACGUGCGGGCUGUGGCUUUGCGCGCUCGGAUGCGGUCGUGCGUGCGGGUUCCUAUCCAUGCCACACGAGGCGUGCGGCACAACCAUCCGAUACACCACACGUGUGGCAGUUAUCCGGACCCGAACUGAACUAAACGACGAUGUGCUCACGGAGAUACUCCUACGCCUGCCGCCCAAGUCCGUCCUCCGCUCCCGCGCCGUCUGCAAGCACUGGCGCCGCGCCACCACCCGCGACUCCUUCCUUGCGGCCUACUCCCGCCGCCGGCCGCUCGAGCUCAUCCUUUACCCGAACCGCCACAUGUGCACUCGCAAGGAGACCCACGUGGUCCCACUCCCACUCGAGGGCGGCGACGGUGCCGGAUGCCCGCGUCUCCGGACCUCUCUGAAACUUUUCGGUUCCUGCGAUGGCCUGCUGUUGUUCAUGGACGGCGAGGACUUCGUCAUCUGCAACCCGGCGACACGGCAGUGGGCGAGAUUUCCGGCGCUGUCACCGGCGCCGUGCAAGUGGGUCAUACCGUCAGGUUUCUACCUCCACCGGUCCUCCGGCGAGCACCGCGUGCUCUGCAUCGCAGAGGACAUCCCACCCACCAUGUACUAUGAUUGGUCCCGACGCGUCUAUAGGCAUUUCAACCCCGGCGUCGACCCGUGGGCCACCGGUGACGCUGCCCCUCGGCGCCUCGGCCCUUUCGCCGAGUACCGCGGGAACCAUCCGUGGCCGCCCAGCGGCGUGGACAUUGGCGGGACUCUGCACUGGGCGCGCCAUUCAUGGACCGGCAAGGACUCCACCUCCAUGCUGGCCUUCGACACGGUCUCGGAGAAAUUCCGGCGGAUGCCGCUGCCACCCGCCGCCGCGACAGUCCCGGAUCACUUGAUGAACCUGUUCGACCUGCGAGGAACGCUCGCCGCGUCGGCGAUGGGCGAGUGGCCGCACCUGGACGUUUGGACCCUCGACGACUACGACAGCGAGAGGUGGUCGCACCGCGUGCGUGUCGAGCUCCCUGCGGCCGCGACGGGACCUUACGGCCGCAAGUUCGGAGCGGCCGUGGCGGCGCUCGAGGGUGACGUGCUUGUCCUGUUCGCCGUCGGUGCCUGGGUGACGCUCUACGACGUCAAGGAGAAGAGGACGGUGCGCGUGGUCCGUUGCGGCGAUAAUCGCGGUGACACGUGCUGGUGCGUCCACAGGGAGAGCCUCGCGCCGGCGGUCAUCCAUGGCUUGUCCGGCGUGGUACCCGCCCAUCACCAACUGGAAGGGUGUGCUGCGAUUCACUACUCCUCAGAUGACACAUGA